rnacentral:rRNA from 1 species
UACGUAGGUGGCAAGCGUUAUCCGGAAUUAUUGGGCGUAAAGCGCGCGCAGGUGGUUUCUUAAGUCUGAUGUGAGAGCCCACGGCUCAACCGUGGAGGGUCAUUGGAAACUGGGAGACUUGAGUGCAGAAGAGGAAAGUGGAAUUCCAUGUGUAGCGGUGAAAUGCGUAGAGAUAUGGAGGAACACCAGUGGCGAAGGCGACUUUCUGGUCUGUAACUGACACUGAGGCGCGAAAGCGUGGGGAGCAAACAGG